UCGACGAAACGCGCGAACGCCGAACGGUUGUUGAAGAUAUUGAUGUACAGUGUGCGUGGUCGGAAACGUCUUAUUUGACGGAACUUAAUUGAGUAUGGACUGAGUUUUUCCACACUUCAAACGCGGCGGAAUCGGGUACAGAGGUGCUGGAGGAUGCUUUACUCGCGGGUACAGUGCGUGACCUUAACAACAAACCUGUGUCCAGGUCAGAACCCAAACUGCCUGCUUGACGAUGAACACGGAUGAUGCAAUAAAAGUCUUCAUUUACAACAAAGGAAGAUGACAGCAGAAGUAUUUCUCAUUACUGUGUUUUCAACCAACCAAUCAGUGAAUUCCCAUCUUCUACUGGCCAUGAGGAAGAACUCUAUCAUGCACACAGUGAAUAGAGCUCAGUGCUGCUAACUGGGAGAACAGCUGGAAAACUGGAGGAGGAGAACAUUUGAACAUACAGACAACUGUAUUAUUUUUCUGCAAGAACCACAACAAGCAAAGACGAUGAGCACUCUGAACAAACAACAGUCAGACGCUUAAUUAUGCACUGCACUUUACUGAGUUCUACAACAUGUGAUGUUGAGUUAGAUUUUGAUUUUUUUUUUUUCAGGUUAAUAAAAUUAUAUGUUUUAAGAAUGUAAUGGCUAAGAAUUUUGAGUGUUUUUUUUAAGAAUGUUAGGGAAUUAUGUUCUAACAAUGUUAUCACUAAACAUUUUUAGAAUGUUUUUAAAGAAUGUUAAACUGUCUUUUGAGAGAAUAUUCUGGGAACAAAAACAAAACUACCCGCUAAAACAUUGUAAGAAUGUUACAGCAUACUGUUUUAACAAUGUUGUCACUAAACAAUUUUAGAAUUAUUUUAGAGAAUGUUAUCAUAUCUUAUAGGAAAAUGUUCUGGGAACAAAAAUAAAACUACCUGCUAAAAACUUUAUAAGAAUGUUAUAGCAUACUGUUUUAACAAUGUUUUCACUAAACAUUUUAAGAAUGUUUUAAGAGAAUGUUAUCCUAACUUUUGAGAGAAUGUCCUGGGAACAAAAAUAAAACUACCUGCUUAAAACUUUGUAAGAUGGUUAUGGAUUGAUGUUCUAACAAUGUUAUCACUAAACAUUUUCAGAAUGUUUUUAGAGAAUGUUAUCUAACUUUUUGAGAGCACGUUCUGGGAACAAAAAUAAAACUACCCGCUAAAAACUUUGUAAGAAUGUUAUCACUAAACAUUUUCAGAAUGUUUUUAGAGAAUGUUAUCCUAACUUUUGAGAGAACAUUCUGGGAACCAAAAUAAAACUACCCGCUAAAAACUUUGUAAGAAUGUUAGGGAAUGAUGUUCUAACAAUGUUAUCACUAAACAUUUUUAGAAUGUUUUUAAAGAAUGUUAAACUGUCUUUUGAGAGAAUAUUCUGGGAACAAAAACAAAACUACCCGCUAAAACAUUGUAAGAAUGUUACAGCAUACUGAUUUAACAAUGUUGUCACUAAACAAUUUUAGAAUUAUUUUAGAGAAUGUUAUCAUAUCUUAUAGGAAAAUGUUCUGGGAACAAAAAUAAAACUACCUGCUAAAAA